rnacentral:rRNA from 1 species
CUUGCCUCAAAUAAGAGGUCCAGCCUGCCCAGUGACACUGUUCAACGGCCGCGGUAUCCUAACCGUGCGAAGGUAGCGUAAUCACUUGUUCUUUAAAUGAGGACUAGUAUGAAAGGCAUCACGAGAGUCAUACUGUCUCCUUUUUCCAAUCAGUUAAACUAAUCUCCCCGUGAAGAAGCGAGGAUAAUUCUAUAAGACGAGAAGACCCUAUGGAGCUUUAAACAAAUAACACUUGCCUACCCCUCCUUUAAUUUCAGAAAAAUCUCCUACUUUGGCAUGAUACUUAUAAGUUUUUGAUUGGGGUGAUCACGGAACAAAAAACAACCUCCGCAAUGAAAGACACUCCCCUAACUAAGUUAAGAACUACAGCUCUAUACAUCAACAAAUUGACACUAAUUGAUCCAAUAUAUUGAUCAAUGAAC